rnacentral:rRNA from 1 species
AUUGAACGCUGGCGGCAGGCCUAACACAUGCAAGUCUAGCGAGCGGCGGACGGGUGAGUAAUGUCUGGGAAACUGCCUGAUUGAGGGGGAUAACUACUGUAAACGGUAGCUAAUACCGCAUACCAUUUGCUGUGCCCAGAUGGGUUUAGCUUGUAGGUGGGGUAACGGCUCACAUAGGCGACGAUCCCUAGCUGGGCUGAGAGGAUGACCAGCAAAACGGGAACGAAAAAACGGUCAGGACCCCUACGGGAGGAGGCAGAGGGGAAGAUUGCACAAUGGGCGCAAGCCUGAUGAAGCCAUGCCGCGUGUGUGAAGAAGGCCUUCGGGAUGUAAAGCACUUUCAGCGGGGAGGCGAUACCCGCAGAAGAAGCACCGGCUAACUCCGUGCCAGCAGCCGCGGUAAUUC